UUUCUACACAGACUGGUUCCUCCUGACAUGUCUAAUAUUAGCGUCAAGGGACUGGUCUUCUAUUCUGCAGAUCCUGUUUUCUGCUGUUUCAAUUCUACUCCUACGAAUUUCCAUUUGCAGAAACUGGUUUGCAGACUAAUCACAGGCUACCUUAAACUGUAGAUCUCAGUUGGAGAAUCAAACACAAAACUGAAAACUUCUGCUCUUCUCCACAUUUUGUCCACUAUGACCUUGCCAUUCAAAACAAUAUGGUUUACUGGAAGGUUUCAAUUUCUUGGGAUCCAGUAGGGGAUUCACUACAUUCUAUGUAUUGGAGUUUCUCAUGAUUGAACUCAAACCAAUUUCAAAGCAAUUCAUGACGCAGCCUCCGUUUAAUAUGACCUAUGAAACUUGUAUGUUUCUUUUCACUAGAGAGAACAGAAAUUCACACUUUAGAGAUGUGCCAGAUUCAAACAUUUUUAUUUCUAAGAAGUUGUAACUUCUGAGAACAAACACCUCUACAAUAUUUAGUAGGUAUUCAACACACAAGAUCUUUCUUAGAUUUCACUUAAAUAAAUCUGCUAUGCCAGGUACAUAAAAAAACACAACUUUGAUGGUCACUGCUAUCUCCUGUAUUGGUAUUACCUUGGUUAUGGCUCUUUUAAGUAAUUAAAAGCACAAUUAUACAAGAAUGUGUUGCUAUCUUCAUCCUGCCAAAUCUUAAUGUGAUGACUAAUAGAGGAUUAGCACAAUAAACUGUAGUGCAUCCACACCAUGGAAUACUUUGCAAAAGGUAAGAAGAAAGGAAGUUCUUUAUGUACUGAUAUGAAAAAAUUUCCAUUACAUAGUGCCUCAAAUAAGAUGCAAAAAAGCAUAUAUGUGCUACCUUUGUCUAAAAAGGAAGUGAAAAUAAUACAUAUUUGUAUUUCCUUGUAUUUGCAUAAAGAAAUUCUGGAAAGAUACACAACAACGUAAAAACAGUGCAACAUAGGAAGAGGUGUAGGAAGGAACUGAGUGGGUGGGGGACCAAUAGAGCCUUUUCACUGUCUCUAUGUAACUUCUUAUAUUUGUUAUUUAUUUUAAUCAUGUGCAAUGUAUUAGGUAUCGAAAAAUAAUCUAACUGGCUUUGAAUCUCUUCACCUGAAAUGAGAUGUAUAAGUUAAUAUCAACGCAAAAACAAAAAAUCUUUAUUUUUAGUUAAAAUGUUAUGCUGAAAAUCAACGUACUAAUAAAAGACAAACACACACAAAAAAAGGGAGUAUGGGAUAAAAGGCAGCUAAAUAUGUCCUAAAAGGAUUUCUGGUGACCCUCUCAGUACCCUAUUAUAUCAUAAACCAUUACAAUAAUUUAUACUCAGCAUACCAAGCUAGGUGCUGCAUGACAUUUUCCUUAUCCUCAAAGGUUUUACAACCUAAUUGCCAAAAUAAGAAAAAUACUAUUUAUUUUUUAAAUAGUUAAAAAAAAAGUAAACAAUAAUUUAAGGCAGAAUAUGAUAAAUGAGUGGUACAAACAAUACCACACAUGAUUCAAAGAAAGGAGUAUCUGUGCCUCAGAUAAACGAAGACCCAAAGAGGAAGCAAGAAUUAGAUAAGUGGAAAGAAAGAGAGAACAGCAUUCUGUGAAAGUGGAAUUAUUAUAACAAAGAUGCUAUGGAGGGAAAAGAAACACAAAGUAAACAAGAUACUGACUAGACUGGUUUGAAUGGAACAGGAGGCUGGUAGGGGUGACAGCAAGAGGAGAGGAUGAAGUCUAAUAACUAAUAAUACUUGAUACUUGUACAAUAUUUCACUUAUAUUAUCUCACUUGGUCAGCAAAUUAAUUGUUAGAAAGGAUAGACUGCAGAAGGUUCUGAGCAUCAUGCUAUAAAUAUCUACUGACAGUAUCUAAUUAUCUAAAAUGGAAUUAUUCCAUCAUUAGAGGAUAAAGAAACUACAGGCAGGUAGACUAGUUAAGAAAGUUCUGAUAUAAGCUAAUCAGGACCCAGGCUGAAGUAACAGCAGUGGAAAUAAACAGGAAGGAAGAAACUUAUACGACUAGGGUGAUAAGGUGUAGAAGUAAAUAAAAUGGCUACCAGGGCUUAGACCUCAGUUACUAGGAGAAAGAUGAUAUAAUUGAGAGAAAUACGUUAAGUCCAGUUUUUAGAUCCUCUAUCACUCAUCCCAAGAAAUGUUUUCUAAGUCAGUCAUCACCCUAGUCAAGUGAGACAUGUUUCCCUACCAUUACUCCCAGUGUCCACCAACCUCAAAAAGACAGCUAACAGGGACAGGGAGUAGUAGGGGAUGGCUGCUUAAUGGGUACAAGGUCUCUUUUGGGGGUGAGGAAAAUGUUUUACAACCAGACAGAGGCCAUGGUUGCACAACAUUGUGAGUAUACUAAAUGCUAUUUAAUUAUACACUUUAGAAUAGUUAAUUUUAGGUUUUGUGAAUUUUACAACAUUAAUUUUUUUAAAAAGCUGCUGAAACUAAAGACCACAAUGCCUUUUAUCCUUUAUUAAAGGUCGAUGCCCAGAAUGCCUUGUAUAUUUUGCCCAUUCACUCUCACUAUAACUCUCCACCACCUAAAUCAUUCCAUUGUAUCUGACAUUGUCUUCACCAAUAAAAAGCAAAUUGUAUUUUCCAAUCUUUCUCUGAAUUCUAUCUCCUCGCUUUAAAGAAAAGUGAGCUCUACCCUGCGUGUAAUACAUCCUUGCAACAUGUUUCUGUGUUUUGUUAUUGUUUUUCUCUUUACACUCUAGAUGGAAGGAAUACAGAGUCACUGUACCAAAAAGAGCUGGUCAACUUUUGCCAUUUCAAGAGCAUAUGAUGAUGAAUUGAUGCUACUGAAGGAAAAGUCCAAGCUGCAGUGCAGGCAUUGGUGAAAAACAAGGAUCCAGGAAUUGACGGAAUACCAACUGAGAUGUUUCAUCUCAAGAUGUAGCGCUAGAAGUGCUUACUCAUCUAUGCCAAG